ACCCGCUGAACUUAAGCAUAUCAAUAAGCGGAGGAAAAGAAACCAACAGGGAUUGCUCUAGUAACGGCGAGUGAAGCAGCAAUAGCUCAAAUUUGAAAUCUGGCGUCUUCGACGUCCGAGUUGUAAUUUGUAGAGGAUGCUUCUGAGUGGCCACCGACCUAAGUUCCUUGGAACAGGACGUCAUAGAGGGUGAGAAUCCCGUAUGCGGUCGGAAAGGCGCUCUAUACGCAGCUCCUUCGACGAGUCGAGUUGUUUGGGAAUGCAGCUCUAAAUGGGAGGUAAAUUUCUUCUAAAGCUAAAUAUUGGCCAGAGACCGAUAGCGCACAAGUAGAGUGAUCGAAAGAUGAAAAGCACUUUGGAAAGAGAGUUAAAAAGCACGUGAAAUUGUUAAAAGGGAAGGGAUUGCAACCAGACUUGCUCGCGGUGUUCCGCCGGUCUUCUGACCGGUCUACUCGCCGCGUUGCAGGCCAGCAUCGUCUGGUGCCGCUGGAUAAGACUUGAGGAAUGUAGCUCCCUCGGGAGUGUUAUAGCCUCUUGUGAUGCAGCGAGCGCCGGGCGAGGUCCGCGCUUCGGCUAGGAUGCUGGCGUAAUGGUCGUAAUCCGCCCGUCUUGAAACACGGACCAAGGAGUCUAACAUCUAUGCGAGUGUUCGGGUGUCAAACCCCUACGCGUAAUGAAAGUGAACGGAGGUGAGAACCGCAAGGUGCAUCAUCGACCGAUCCUGAUGUCUUCGGAUGGAUUUGAGUAAGAGCAUAGCUGUUGGGACCCGAAAGAUGGUGAACUAUGCCUGAAUAGGGUGAAGCCAGAGGAAACUCUGGUGGAGGCUCGCAGCGGUUCUGACGUGCAAAUCGAUCGUCAAAUUUGGGUAUAGGGGCGAAAGACUAAUCGAACCAUCUAGUAGCUGGUUCCUGCCGAAGUUUCCCU
rnacentral:rRNA from 1 species